AUUAUUAUUAUUAUUUGACUAAUUUUCCCCAGGCAACCCUAGCUCUCUCGAGCGCUGUGGAACAAGCGGUUGGCUUCUUAAUCCCCAGUUCGCUCUGUGCCACGGAAGAAUUUCUGGUCACAUUGCUUUCGAAGGUGCGGCCAUGGCUGCCGGCGAGUUGGCUUGCACACACGCGUCCCCGAUUCUCCAUGAUAAUGGAAUAGCAAUUACUGCGGAGAAGAUUAAUAAUUAAUAAUUUAGUUAAGGCGGCGAAUGUGUCCGUGGAAUCGUACUGGCCGAGCCUAUUUGCGACACUCGCGGAGAAGAAGAACGUUGAGGAUCUCAUUUUGAAUGCUGGUUCAGGCGGCUCUUCUGCUGUAGCUGUCACUGCUUCUGCUGCCGGUGCCGCCGCUGGAGGUGAUGCCGCUGCAGCCCCCACCGCCGAGGAGAAGAAGGGCCUAAAUAAAGUGUCUCUCUCUAUCUGAGAUAGAAGAGGGGAAGAAAAUCCCCAAGGACUGAAGUAAGGUUCAGCAUUACCCUGGGUAGCUUUGUCUUCUUUAGUUCAGUACCUUUUAAAUUGAGAAUCAUGCCCUUCCAAUGGAUGAUUCUGAUACUAGCAGAGGUUAAUACAUGGCUAAUUCAACCAUGGAGUCAAAAGACAGGAGACAUGACUACCCAGGGAUCACGUCCAUAAAGAAGCUGAAAAUCUAAUAUGUUCACAGGGUAGUCCUACCCUACCAUCAAGUAUGAUUAUGGAAAUGCUUACAUCACCAGUUUGCCAGUAAAAUGCCAUAGCUUGCGGUAUUGAGUAUAUUGAUGUAUUUUUACCCUGUAAUCAUGUUAAUCAGAUAUUUGAACCCCUUUCUCGUUAAUUAUUCGCACUCCUCACUGAGGUUGUUGUGUUACUUAGGAGCUUGUGUUUCCUGAUUUCCUUGUUUCCUGUAACAGAUGAUUGCCCCUUCUUUUUCAGCGACCGUAGCUUGCAAUGCUCCCUGUUGGUCUACAUGAUGGACUUUAGGGCCUGUUUGCUUGUUAAAAAGAAUGAAAUGUAAUGAAUUAAAAAAAAAAAAGAUAAAAGUAUGAUAAUCAAUCAAGAUAUGGAGAAAAUAUAAGUUAACCAUGUUUAUAAAGGGAGAAGAAUAAUUUAGUUUAUGAAAUUGAUGGCCAUGAUUUCUGAUAUUUGUGGUGGAUGCCAUGAUUUCUACAUUUGGUAUGCAAUAUUGAGUUUUAUAUCAUAAUGGAUUGGAUAAUUUAGUUCAUUUUUUGUUCUUUCUUUCUUUCUUUUUUUUUUUUAAUUUCAUCCCAUUAAUCAAACAGCUCAUUUGUUUAGUUGCUUGUCCGUACAAGAUUGAUUUGCAUUGUGUCUGAAAAAGUGAUUCUGAAACUGUAUCUGCGGGAAGAAGCAAAGGAAGAGAGCGAUGAUGACAUGGGGUUCGGCUUAUUUGACUAGGUCUUCCCUUCAGUUCAUGCUCUUUGCUCGUCAGCCAAUCUAGGACCUAUUGUUAUUUGUCUCGUGACCAAUUGAAAGAUUUUUAUUUCAUUUUCAUUUUUCAUUUUUUCAAUUUCCAUUCGAGAGAACUUAGCAAUCAGUUGAGCAUUAGCCCAGUGCCUUAUCAAUCAAAAGUUUGCCGUUUAAUUUCUCAA